UACGUAGGGGGCUAGCGUUGUCCGGAUUUAUUGGGCGUAAAGAGCUCGUAGGCGGCUUGUCGCGUCGACUGUGAAAUCCCGCGGCUCAACUGCGGGUCUGCACUCGAUACUGCGUGGCUUGAGUAUCGGAGAGGUUGGUGGAAUUCUCGGUGUAGAGGUGAAAUUCGUAGAUAUCGAGAGGAACACCGAUGGCGAAGGCAGCCCCCCUGGGUCAAGAUUGACGCUCAUGCACGAAAGCGUGGGGAGCAAACAGG
rnacentral:rRNA from 1 species